UUGUGUAUCUUGCAAAGAAGAGAUUGCUAUCAAGAACUGAUCACGAAGGUGGUUUUCCCAGGGUGAGGCUAAUUCCAUUGCACUCCAGAUGUGUUGACCCCUGCGAUUUCCCCAAAUUUGGGAAACACAACUGCAUAAUUAGUGGUAGUGGGGAAUGGCAUUUGCUCUCUCCCCU
rnacentral:snRNA from 1 species